rfam:Geobacter lovleyi SZ plasmid pGLOV01, complete sequence.
UUGGCGGACUUUUUUUGUGCUUGUUUUCAAACAGAUGGAGUUGAGGAAGAGGGGUUAAAUACCCCCGCUGCCCCGCAGCCGUAAUAGGAACGAAAGCCCGUCACCACGAGGUGAAACAACCACUGGGAGCAUUCCUGGGAAGGUGGGUAAGUAGGUAGCCUUAAGCCGGAAGACGGCUCCAUCUGCAUAUCAAC